rnacentral:tRNA from 1 species
GCCUCUUUAGCUCAGCGGUAGAGCAGCUGUUUCGUAAACAGCAGGUCGGGGGUUCAAAUCCCCUGAGAGGCU